rnacentral:lncRNA from 10 species
UCCUCCCUACACUAGAGAAAAAGCAAGGUUCUUAUCAUCAAGGACAAGAAAGUUGAAGUGGAACGAAUUUUGUACAAACAAGCCUUGUUCAACUAACACUUGUCAUGCUGGCUACUUCUCUAUCCAGUUAACCACCCUAGCCCAAGACCCUUUGCCUGAUCACAUGUUUACAGUUUAUAAUUCUUUGUCAAAUCUGGUAAAGAAUUAACUGACUCUGACAGCUUCUUUGUGUCUUUAUUUCUUUAUGAGGCUCCUAUGCUAUGUAAAACUUGUGUUGUGCUUUGCUCCUGUUAAUCUAUGUUAUGUCAAUGUAAUUCUUGGACCCUCCUGGGACCCUAAAAGGGUGAAGUAGUAUUCUUCUGUCCCAACAGUUUCUGUCCUAAAAGGCUGAGCACCUUCCGACUCACUCUGGAGCCUGCAGAUGGGAUCCUGAGGGGCCUAAUAAAUGAUGGAAGAAAGUAGGAAUUCUUACCAAGGUCAGCUCUCCUGGAUUUCCGUCCAUAGUGUCCAAUUGAAAGAAGAAGGUAAAAAUUUUUGCGUGUUCCUUCCUUCCCAAAUUCAACUGACAGGAAAAAAAAAAUUGUAAAAAAUUGGUUCUUUGAAUUGUGAGUCUUGUGAAUUUGCUUCUGGGUGUCCAUUGGUAAUUGAUCCACAGCCUCCCAGGAAGUCCUUGUUUUUCUUAUCUCUGUCUUUUGUGUGGGUUGUCAUAAGGAAGAAAAUUAUAAUUAAUUAGAUUUGAGGUAGGAGGCUGGCAGGGCUUGUUUUCUGGUCAUGACCUCACUGAUCUGGUUUGAAAGGAUAUGGUUGAAACAGAAUGCAGUGAAGAAGCCAGCCAAAAUAAGCAGAUGGCCAUGAAAGUGACCUGUAGUUGCCCUCACUACUCAUUAGCAUAAAGACAUUCCCAUGGGUGCCGUGACAGUUUACACAUGCCAUGGCAAUGGGCCAUAGCAAUGGCCUGGAAGUUACCAUAUAUGGUUCUGGACGCUCUCGGCCCCUUUUCCAGAAUGUUCUGAAUAAUCCACCUCUUAAUUAGCAUAUAAUUAAAAGUGGGUAUAAAUACAGCUGCCAACAGCUUACACAUUGCUGACUCUGGGCACACUGCUUAUGGGUUAGCCCUGCUCUGCAAGGAGCAGCACUGGCUCCAUAAACACUGCUUUCUGUCACCACUGGCUCACCCUUGAGUUCGUUCCUGGGUGAAGCCAACAACCCUCUCAGGUUGAUCCCCAAUUUUGAGGCUCACCUGUCCUGCAUCAGACUCUGCUUCAUCUUCUCUGAAGUCAUAAGAGCUUGGCUUUGUAAUCAGUGAAAAUGUGCUCUUUGGUUUCUAUCAGCCUGGGGCUCAAGCUGUUGGGCUUGUGCCCAGCAGUUAGCCAGCUCUCCAGGAUUCUGAAACAAGAAGUGUCUCUUUGUAUGAACUGUGCCAGCUCUCAGGACAGUUUGUCGUAAUUGUCUCAGCCUUUGUUGCCCUGUUAACAAUGAGGGUCUUCACUUUCUUAGGUAUCCUUGGAGGAAACUUUGGAUCUGGGGUGGGGGUGGGACUUCUGUACCCUCUUUAUGGAUGCCUCUUUUGUCCAUGAUUAAACCAUAAAAAGAUGAUCAGUUUUGAGUCAAAACUGAAGUAGGUAUACCUUUGAAAAUUUGGACUUUUGUAUCUAAAAGUAUUUUUUUUAA